rnacentral:rRNA from 2 species
AAAUUGAAGAGUUUGAUCAUGGCUCAGAUUGAACGCUGGCGGCAGGCCUAACACAUGCAAGUCGAACGGUAGCACAGAGAGCUUGCUCUCGGGUGACGAGUGGCGGACGGGUGAGUAAUGUCUGGGAAACUGCCUGAUGGAGGGGGAUAACUACUGGAAACGGUGGCUAAUACCGCAUAACGUCGCAAGACCAAAGAGGGGGACCUUCGGGCCUCUUGCCAUCAGAUGUGCCCAGAUGGGAUUAGCUGGUUGGUGAGGUAACGGCUCACCAAGGCGACGAUCCCUAGCUGGUCUGAGAGGAUGACCAGCCACACUGGAACUGAGACACGGUCCAGACUCCUACGGGAGGCAGCAGUGGGGAAUAUU